UACGUAGGGGGCAAGCGUUGUCCGGAAUCAUUGGGCGUAAAGAGCGCGUAGGCGGUCCGGUAAGUCCGCUCUGAAAGUCCGGGGCUCAACCCCGGGAGGCGGGCGGAUACUGUCGGGCUAGAGUCCGGAAGAGGCGAGUGGAAUUCCUGGUGUAGCGGUGAAAUGCGCAGAUAUCAGGAGGAACACCGAUGGCGAAGGCAGCUCGCUGGGACGGUACUGACGCUGAGGAGCGAAAGCGUGGGGAGCAAACAGG
rnacentral:rRNA from 1 species